rnacentral:rRNA from 1 species
UACGUAGGGGGCAAGCGUUGUCCGGAUUUAUUGGGCGUAAAGAGCUCGUAGGCGGCUUGGCAAGUCGGGUGUGAAAACUUCAGGCUCAACCUGGAGCGGCCACUCGAUACUGCCAUGGCUUGAGUCUGGUAGGGGACCACGGAAUUCCUGGUGUAGCGGUGAAAUGCGCAGAUAUCAGGAGGAACACCGGUGGCGAAGGCGGAUCUCUGGGCCUUACCUGACGCUCAGGUGCGAAAGCUAGGGGAGCGAACAGG